rnacentral:lncRNA from 1 species
CCCACUCAUCCACAGUAGGGGUUCUGUUUUUGGAUCUGGUUUUUUCCGGUUUGAGCUGGUGUUUGUGUAGGUUGGGGGUGUGGGUUUGAUCUCUCUUUGGAGUUCAAAUUGGAGUUUUGCUCUGUUGGGUCUAAGCAAAAUUAUUUUUCUGAGCUGAUUCUCUAUGCUUGUUGCCGUCAGAAUCUGAACUGCAGGGUUUUUUUUCGCCGGAGUUUAUGUUUUGUUUUUCGCGGAUGGCUGUUAUCCCGUAUUAUUUUCCUAUCCGAUCUGAUCUGAAUGUAUUGUAAACAUGUCUUAUCUCUUAAUGUUCAGAUUUGGAUGUCCAAUUUAGGAGUGUUUGAUAAAAACUGAAAGAAUUUGAAUGAACUCGAUCUGAAUUACAGAAUUUUAUUAUUUUAUCCAUCUGAAAAAAAUUCAAAGUUGUUG